AGCGAACGCUGGCGGCAGGCUUAACACAUGCAAGUCGAGCGGGCACUUUCGGGUGUCAGCGGCGGACGGGUGAGUAACGCGUGGGAACGUGCCCUCUGGUUCGGAAUAACUCAGGGAAACUUGAGCUAAUACCGGAUACGCCCUUUUGGGGAAAGGCUUGCUGCCGGAGGAUCGGCCCGCGUCUGAUUAGCUAGUUGGUGAGGUAACGGCUCACCAAGGCGACGAUCAGUAGCUGGUCUGAGAGGAUGAUCAGCCACACUGGGACUGAGACACGGCCCAGACUCCUACGGGAGGCAGCAGUGGGGAAUAUUGGACAAUGGGCGCAAGCCUGAUCCAGCCAUGCCGCGUGAGUGAUGAAGGCCUUAGGGUUGUAAAGCUCUUUUAUCCGGGACGAUAAUGACGGUACCGGAGGAAUAAGCCCCGACUAACUUCGUG
rnacentral:rRNA from 1 species